CUCUUUCCGGUCAUGGACGGAAACAAGAAACUUCCAAAUGAUCAGAAGCGCAAUGCCGAUGAUGAAAACAGACAUGCACACGCCCAGAGCGAUCAAUGGAGCGUUUGGAGCCUCGGGACAGUCUAGCUUGAGGUUGUAGAUUGUGCUGCCGUGAUCGCUGUCCAAAAGACUAAAAGACAUCAGGCAGUUGUCCUCGCUUUGUAAGGUGCACAAAGACGCCCGUCUGUCCUCAAAAUCUGACGAAACAAAAGCAUUGAAUGAACAUGGUGUUUGGUGUCUUCGCAUUGUAUCUCCCUGUAUAAAGACCGACCCCAAGACAGCAGUCGGCUUGUGAUCACAGUGUCCAUAUAAAAGACUUAUGUUCUAUACACACUUGAGGGUCCUGAAGCCAUCGGACCCUGACAAUAGGCUCUCUGCACAACAAGCCAAGUGGCAUGUCGUUUUUGUUGAGUGUCAAUUCAAAGGAUGGCUGCUUUGAGACCAUGUUUACAUGUACUCAUUCCUGCAUUUUAAGAAGAAUCUUUACUGCCUUUAAAAAGCACAUUAACAUUAAAAUUGUCCUUACAUUUUUCGUAUUGAUCUUUUGUUAGAAACACAUUGUUCUCGGUUGAAUAUUUUGGCAGUUUAAAGUAUCGUUCCCCUGAAAACCCUCCUUGCGUGAAACACAAAAAUAGCCUGUAUAAGAACAGAGCUGUGGAAAUAAUUUCUAAACAUUUUGUGUACCGAUUCAAACAGGUUCAAACCAACAUGAGGUUGAGUAAACUUGAUCAACCAUACCUUUAAAUGAGACAUAUUGUUUACUAAAGAAUUACACUACAUACCAAAAUAAAGUGAUUAUACAAAUACAUGUUUUUCUGCAACAGCCAUUUUGAACAUGUGACCACUGAUAACCGGAAAAAGCAAAGAAAAAAAGUAGAAUUCUGACCUGAGGAAUUGCUGACUGUGGCAUGAAGGGAGUUACACUUCAAAGCACAUUCUUGUGACGACUCCUUUUCUUUAAGAUCUCUCUCAUUGAAUCAAAUGACCCGCAGGGUGAGGACCUUUAGAAAGAAGUAAAAAGAAUAGUGCAGACCAACCACAUGCAAUUUGGUGCCUUCUGGAAAUAAGUGGACAAGAGUAUGACUCACAAACACACAAAGAGCUCACCCACUCACACAAGAACUAAUGCAGUCAUGAAAAAAAACAGAGGAAAUUCCUGGCGAAGUGAGCACAUGAUGAUGUUCGGUUUCAGUGUCAAUGGUCAAAUAAAGAACUUCCAACUUUAUUAGGUGACAUGACAUUAUUUUUUCUGCACUUACUGUGUUACAUUACAUAAGAUUUACAAACUGUACCUGUAAAUACAAUUUUGACU